rnacentral:rRNA from 1 species
UACGUAGGACGCAAGCGUUAUCCGGAGUUACUGGGCGUAAAGGGCAGGCAGGCGGGUCGAUAAGUCGGAUGUGAAAUCUCCCUGGCUUAACCGGGAGAGUGCAUUUGAGACUGUCAACCUGGAGGGCGGCAGAGGAGCGUGGAAUUCCGGGUGGAGUGGUGAAAUGCGUAGAGAUCCGGAGGAACACCAGAGGCGAAAGCGGCGCUCUGGGCUGCACCUGACGCUGAACUGCGAAAGCCAGGGGAGCGAACGGG